UGCAUCGGCCCGGAAUCGAACCCGGGGCGCCCGCGUGGCAGGCGAGCAUUCUACCACUGAAUAUAAUUCAAAAGC
rnacentral:tRNA from 1 species